rnacentral:rRNA from 1 species
UACGGGGGGAGCAAGCGUUGUUCGGAUUUACUGGGCGUAAAGGGCGCGUAGGCGGUCGUGACAAGUCACUUGUGAAAUCUCCGGGCUUAACUCGGAACGGUCAAGUGAUACUGUCGGACUAGAGUACAGAAGGGGCAACUGGAAUUCUCGGUGUAGCGGUGAAAUGCGUAGAUAUCGAGAGGAACACCUGCGGCGAAGGCGGGUUGCUAGGCUGAUACUGACGCUGAGGCGCGAAAGCCCAGGGGGGAGCGAACGGG